rnacentral:rRNA from 1 species
CCUGGGAAUGGCGUUUUGAACUGGCAGUCUAGAGUGCGUCAGAGGGGGGUGGAAUUCCACGUGUAGCAGUGAAAUGCGUAGAGAUGUGGAGGAACACCGAUGGCGAAGGCAGCCCCCUGGGAUGACACUGACGCUCAUGUACGAAAGCGUGGGUAGCAAACAGGAUUAGAUACCCUGGUAGUCCACGCCCUAAACGAUGUCAACUGGUUGUUGGGGGAGUGAAAUCCCUUUAGUAACGAAGCUAACGCGUGAAGUUGACCGCCUGGGGCGUACGGUCGCAAGAUUAAAACGCAAAGGAAUUGACGGGGACCCGCACAAGCGGUGGAUGAUGUGGAUUAAUUCGAUGCAACGCGAAAAACCUUACCUACCCUUGACAUGUCCGGAAUCCUGCAGAGAUGCGGGAGUGCCCGAAAGGGAAUCGGAACACAGGUGCUGCAUGGCUGUCGUCAGCUCGUGUCGCGAGAUGUUGGGUUAAGUCCCGCAACGAGCGCAACCCUUAUCAUUAGUUGCUACGCAAGGGCACUCUAAUGAGACUGCCGGUGACAAACCGGAGGAAGGUGGGGAUGACGUCAAGUCCUCAUGGCCCUUAUGGGUAGGGCUUCACACGUCAUACAAUGGUCGGUACAGAGGGUUGCCAAGCCGCGAGGUGGAGCCAAUCCCAGAAAGCCGAUCGUAGUCCGGAUUGUUCUCUGCAACUCGAGAGCAUGAAGUCGGAAUCGCUAGUAAUCGCGGAUCAGCAUGUCGCGGUGAAUACGUUCCCGGGUCUUGUACACACCGCCCGUCCCCCCCAUGGGAACUGGAGAGAG